GGGCGCGUAGUCUAGUCAGGGUUCAGAGCAGUUUGCUGCUCUGAAGUACAGAUAGGGCGCCAGCCUUCGGAGUUGGAUGUCCCAGGUUCAAAUCCUGGCGCGCCCGCCA
rnacentral:tRNA from 1 species